UUGUGAGAAAACAGGCUAUAUUGUACGUUUAUUCUAGUAUAAAACGAUUGCUAUUUUCGUUACAAUUUCUCUGUAAACAGUUCGUUUUUGUGUCUGUGAUCUGGUUGAGACGAUUACGGUGUGUGUAUGAAAUUUUUUUAUUUUAUUAUUAUUUUUAUUUAUUUUAUUUUUUUUUUUUUUUACAAAGGCGCAAGAUGGUUUACGUCUUCAAAUGUCAUAAUCUUCUUCUCUACGAUUUGUACGAGCUAAACGGCUGCCUAUGUACCGUUCGAUUUGAGGAUCCCUGAACAUCCUGCUGCUUAGGUUAAUCUACUUUCGUUCGUCUUCAAGAAUCACCCCUUAAAAUUUUUACACGUGCAGCCGAACACCUAUACAUACCUAUACAUAUAUGCUGAAGAUUUUAUCGAAAUAGGUUGAUGUGGAAACAAGCGACAGCCAUCGAAAGAUGUCCAGAUACAAAUUUGUAAAAAGAAACCUUUACUAUUUUCUUCGCGAUUCCGACCAGUCGCAUUGUUUUCAAAACUUUCUUCAUACAUCAUCUAGUAAACGAUUCCUCAUAAAUUUUCACAAAAACUCAAGACAUUUGGUCCAAUUUUUAAAACGUUAUUCUGUUUUAUAGAAUGUUUGAUUGGUUAUACGAGUAACUAUAUAUAAUAAUAUUUCGUAAUAUCGCAUAAUAAUUAAUAAUCAAGUGUAAUAUAUCUUACCUAUUAAAGAUGUUUUUAUAAUGUGUCUUGCAAUUCGUUUAUCAAUAUUUUGCAUAACUAAAAGUAUAUCUUGGAUAUUUCUUGGCUUAUUAUCAAAUAAC